ensembl:ncRNA asRNA:CR46099 antisense RNA:CR46099
ACUCAGCAUUUUCUCGUCGCGCGCUAUCACCGUCACAUUGGCGCCUUUCAUGGCGCACUCCACCGCCAGACAGAGUCCGAUUCCCUUGGAGCCGCCGGUGACCACCACAUGACGACCCACAAUGCUCCUCGGUUUCUUGGCCAUGACGAACACGUAGACCAGAACAUGAACCAGCACCGCAAUGCCCACGCAGAACACUAUCUCCCAGCUCAGUUCCAUGAUGACAAUUUCAAGAGGGUGCGAUAAUUCCCGGAUUCUCUAAUCUCUUACGCUGGCUUAUCUGCACCCAAAGUUAAACGUCUGAUUAGAAAGUGCAUCUAAGUGUGACCGUUGACGCAAACCGGAUUUCUAUCGAAAGCUUUCGACGCACAUCAGAGAUGCAAAUGUGGCUAUAAGCGGCCAAGCAAAUAUUUUGUUCUUCAAAACUUUUUGUUUAAUUUUAUUCAUAAUAAAUU